rnacentral:rRNA from 1 species
UCAGGGCCUAACACAUGCAAGUCGAGCGACGAAGCACCUUCGGGUGUGGAUUAGCGGCGAACGGGUGAGGAACACGUGAGGAAUCUGCCUUCCACUCUGGGAUAACUCCGGGAAACCGGGGCUAAUACCGGAUACUUUCAACUGGCGGCAUCGCCGGUUGAAGAAAGUUUUUCGGUGGAAGAUGACCUCGCGGCCUAUCAGCUUGUUGGUGAGGUAAUGGCUCACCAAGGCGACGACGGGUAGCCGGCCUGAGAGGGCGACCGGCCACACUGGGACUGAGACACGGCCCAGACUCCUACGGGAGGCAGCAGUGGGGAAUAUUGGGCAAUGGAGGAAACUCUGACCCAGCGACGCCGCGUGAGGGAUGAAAGGCCUCGGGUUGUAAACCUCUUUCAGCAGGGAAUAAGCGAAAGGAA